AUGCUACUCCCUCCAAUCCAUAUUAAUUGUCGAAAUAUUACAUGUAUCUAGACGCUUUUUAGGCAUAGAUACAUCCAUAUUUAGGCAAAUUUGAGACAAUUAAUAUGGAUCGGAGGGAGUAGAUG
rnacentral:pre_miRNA from 1 species